ACAAAGUUAAUAUAUUAUACCUCUUGUAUAAUGGUUAUACAAAAAUCAUACCAAAUUGUAUUUCCCGAAUUAAGAGGAGCUAUUUGUUAGCAUGUUUUAGGCAUAAAAUAAGCUAUGUUGAAAUAUGGCUAUAAGACUCACAAAUAGGAGCGAAAAACUCUCAACUCUUAUGAUAUCUGGUAGUUUUAUAAAAGCAUCUAGUGCUGAGAAGUUAGAUAUGAAGUGAUUAGACUUUAUAUUAUUAGAAUUUUAAUACUAUUUGAAUUUUCUAUAGUUGACCCUAAAGAAGAUUUCAGACAAAAACAUAAAUUAUUUCUAAAAUCUAGACUGUAUAAAACCUCACUUAAAAACUUACUAUUAGUGCUAAUUAUGUAUAAAUGAGUAAUAAAAUAAUAAAUCCUAAUAACUUUAUUAGAAAUCAAAUCUACUAAAAUUAAUAAACUAGAAGGAACUCGGCAAAGAAGAGCUUCGACUGUUUAACAAAAACAUAGCCUUAAGUUAAUAAUUUAAGGUUAGACCUGCCCAAUGUUAAUUUAUCAAUGGCCGCGGUACCCUGACCGUGCUAAGGUAGCGCAAUAGAUUGGCCUUUAAUUGAGGUCAAGUAUGAAUGGAGUCACGGGGCUCAGCUGUCUCCUAAGUUUAUCUGUUGAAAUUACUUUUCAGGUGAAAAAGCCUGAAAAAAGAAAAGGGACGAGAAGACCCUUAGAGUUUGACUUAAACCAAAUUAUUAUCUGGUCUAGUUUAGUUGGGGCAACUCGGGAACAACAACAUAAUUUCCUGAAAAUACAAACCGAUUUUUAUAAAUCUGAAUAAACUACCUUAGGGAUAACAGCAUAAUUUUAAAAAUAAGUUUAUGACCUCGAUGUUGGACUAGGAAACCUGCAGGCUAGCCGCCUUCAGGGUAAGUUCUGUUCGAACUUUUAUUCCUACAUGAUCUGAGUUCAGACCGGCGCAAGCCAGGUCAGAUUCUAUCUUUUUACUCUAAAAACUUAGUACGAAAGGACCAG
rnacentral:rRNA from 1 species